rnacentral:tRNA from 1 species
GGGGAUAUAGCUUAGUGGUAUAGCACGUGCCUGGCAAGUACAAGGUUCUGAGUUCAAUUCAUGGUACCA